GACGCGGUCCCGGAAGUUGACCGGGGUGCGGAGCUCCUGGGCUGCAGCUCCUGGAGUUUCCGAGGUUCGUGCGCGUCUGGUGGCGGCGGCGUGAUGUUCUCGGCAGGAGCGGAGAGUUUGCUCCACCAGGCCAGGGAGAUCCAGGACGAGGAGCUGAAGAAGUUCUGUUCCCGGAUCUGUAAACUGCUGCAGGCGGAGGACUUGGGGCCGGACACCCUCGACUCCCUGCAGAGGCUCUUCCUCAUCAUCUCAGCCACGAAGUACAGCCGGAGGCUGGAGAAGACAUGCGUAGACCUGCUGCAGGCCACCCUCGGCCUGCCUGCAUGCCCCGAGCAGCUCCAGGUGCUUUGCGCCGCCAUCCUGCGAGAGAUGUCCCCCUCUGACAGCCUCAGCCUGGCCUGGGACCACACGCAGAACAGCCGGCAGCUGAGCCUGGUGGCCUCCGUUCUCUUGGCCCAGGGUGACAGAAACGAGGAGGUCAGAGCCGUGGGCCAGGGCGUGCUACGAGCGCUGGAGAGCCGGCAGCCUGAGGGACCCAGCCUCAGACACCUCCUCCCCGUCAUGGCCAAGGUCGUGGUCCUCAGCCCGGGCACCCUCCAGGAGGACCAGGCCACCCUGCUCAGCAAGCGGCUGGUCGACUGGCUGCGCUACGCCAGCCUCCAGCAAGGGCUCCCACACUCCGGCGGCUUCUUCUCCACGCCCAGGGCCCGGCAGCCGGGCCCCGUCACCGAGGUGGACGGGGCGGUAGCCACAGACUUCUUCACGGUGCUCUCCAGCGGCCACCGCUUCACAGACGACCAGUGGCUGAACGUGCAGGCCUUCUCUAUGCUGCGGGCGUGGCUGCUGCACAGCGGCCCCGAGGGCCCGGGCACCCUGGACACAGAUGACAGGUCAGAGCAGGAGGGCUCCACUCUGUCGGUGAUCUCCGCCACCUCCUCUGCCGGCCGCCUGCUGCCGCCCCGGGAGCGGCUUCGGGAGGUGGCCUUCGAGUACUGCCAGCGCCUCAUUGAGCAAAGUAACCGACGAGCCCUGAGGAAGGGGGACUCCGACCUGCAGAAAGCUUGCCUGGUGGAGGCCGUGCUGGUGCUGGACGUGCUGUGCCGGCAGGACCCGUCCUUCCUGUACCGAAGUCUCUCCUGCCUGAAGGCCCUGCACGGGCGGGUGCGCGGGGACCCGGCCUCUGUGCGGGUGCUGCUGCCCCUCGCCCACUUCUUCCUGAGCCACGGGGAAGCGGCUGCAGUGGACUCGGAAGCCGUCUACCAGCACCUGUUCACCAGGAUCCCGGUGGAGCAGUUCCACAGCCCCAUGCUGGCCUUUGAAUUCAUCCAGUUCUGCAGGGACAACCUCCACCUGUUCAGCGGGCACCUCAGCACCCUCAGAUUGAGCUUCCCCAACCUCUUUAAGCUCCGAGCCGUGUCCGAACCGCUGUGCUGUGCCCACAGUUCCUGGCCUGGAACAGCCCACCCCUCACCUCCGAGUUUGUGGCGCUCCUCCCGGCCCUGGUGGACGCUGGCACAGCCCUGGAGAUGCUGCACGCGCUGCUGGACCUGCCCUGCUUGACGGCGGUGCUGGACCUGCAGCUCAGGUCAGCACCGGCUGCAUCCGAGAGGCCACUCUGGGACACCUCUCUCAGGGCCCCCAGCUGCCUGGAGGCCUUCCGGGACCCGCAGUUCCAGGGUCUUUUCCAAUACCUGCUGCGCCCCAAGGCCAGUGGCGCCACUGAGAGGUUGGCGCCACUCCACCAGCUGCUGCAGCCCAUGGCCGGCUGUGCCCGCGUGGCCCAGUGUGCCCAGGCCGUGCCCACGCUGCUGCAGGCAUUCUUCUCAGCAGUGACCCAGGUGGCUGACGGGUCCCUGAUCAACCAGCUGGCGCUGCUGCUCCUGGGCAGGAGCGACUCGCUCUACCCGGCCCCAGGGUACGCUGCCGGUGUGCACAGUGUGCUGAGUUCUCAGUUCCUGGCCCUGUGUACGCUGAAACCCUCCCUGGUGGUGGAGCUGGCAAGAGACCUGCUGGAGUUCCUGGGCAGCGUGAAUGGUCUCUGCAGCAGGGCGAGCCUCGUCACCAGCGUGGUGUGGGCCAUCGGCGAGUACCUGUCGGUGACCUACGAUCGGAGGUGCACCGUGGAGCAGAUCAACAAGUUCUUCGAAGCCCUGGAGGCUCUGCUAUUCGAGGUCACCCAGUGCCGCCCCUCUGCUGCCCUGCCCAGGUGUCCCCCCCAGGUGGUCACCGUGCUGAUGACCACGCUGACGAAGCUGGCCUCCCGGAGCCAAGAUCUGAUCCCCAGGGCCUCUUUAUUGCUGUCAAAGAUGAGGACCCUGGCUCACAGUCCAGCCACCAGCUCCACGCACAGCGAGGAGGGCGCGGAAGCCAUCCGUACCCGGGCCACAGAGCUGCUGACCCUGCUGAAGAUGCCUAGCGUGGCCCAGUUUGUGCUCACACCCAGCACGGAGGUGUGCAGCCCCCGCUAUCACCGCGAUGCCAACACGGCCCUGCCCCUGGCCCUGCGCACGGUCAGCCGGCUGGUGGAGAGGGAGGCCGGCCUCAUGCCAGGGUGAAGGGACAGUGGCCAGGGACUUCGGUGCAGAUUAAGAGCCUGGGCAGCCAGCUUGCUACUGAGGCCAGGCUGAUAGGAGCUCAGGAGGGCGCGGGAGUCCUGGGAGAGGAGGCAAGGCCCACGGUGGGCUUGGCACCCUCACAGACACGCGGGGCUGGCCCCCCUGCUCACCCUCUGGGCUUUGUCUCCGAGCCUUUUGCUCCCAGGCAACACUGAGCUGAGCUGAGGGGUGCCAUGGAGCGGCUCUGAUUGGAGGCUUGAGGCCCUGUGGCUGGGUCGGGUGGAGGCUGCUGGGUCUGUUUCCUAGUCUUUUGUUUUUGGACAGUUGAUGGGCAAGAAGAGCUGCAGUAAAAGUAAAUCUCCUUUAAUAAGCGUCUGUAUGAAGAGUGCGCGAUCAGUUCCGUUACCUGCCCUGCACCCUGGGGAGAGGACCAGGGAUGGGAACCCCUGGCAGCUGCUGCCAGUCCUGGAGGCUCAGCCCGGCGUGCCACUGCUGCUACAGAAACCAGGUCAUUUGUGCACAGCCCGGAAGGCAGCGGCGCGAGUUCCCGGGUGUGGUCACCGCUCUGGGUGGUGCGCUUGUCAAUGCCCCUUUUGAUGCCCUUGAAUAGCCUGAAGAUGAAGGGGACCGGGGGAGGGUUGCAAGCGCCAUGGCCUAUGCAGGCUGCGGCCUCUGGCCAUUCGGAGGGAAGGCCCCAGGGAGCCACCUGAGUGGAGCUCAGAACACUGGAUUCGCGCGAAGGGGAGGUGUCUGGGCGUGCGGCCCCAGCCCCGCCACCUUCCUGGGCCCUGUGGUCCCACCCUCCGGACUACCAAGGCACAGCUGUGUCGCACGUUCCGCCCGGUGCCUGGGACGGGCUCAGCCGCCAGGGGGCGCCGCCGCCCCGAGAGCCUCACGCCCCGCCCCCAGGCUCAAACUCUUCCCCCUCCCCACUCUGGCUCCGCCCCCGGUCUCCUCUUUUGCUCUGGCCCCGCCCACCUCCCCUCCGGCCUCGGCCCCGCCCCCAAUCCCCCAUAGCUCUGCGACUAAGAAACCACAGGCUGAAGGCGACUGCAGGGUCCUGCCCCUUGCCCAGCCUCAGGACUAUGGAGGGGGCGAGUGACGCGCAAGGAACGGAGCAGGGGACACCGUGCGGGCUCAGGAGCUCCCCAGAUGCCCGAGCCGAACCGCGGGGUCCUCACCGCCAGGUUCCAGCCCAGGAAGCGCUCGCCUGCCCCACAGCCUGGGCCUUGGGUCGCGUUCCGAGCUCCAGGACGGCUGGUGUCCCCCGCGGCCUGCGAUGACAGCCCAGGGCCGCUGAGCCGGGGCCGCAGGAAAGGCUGGCGCUGGCAGGCGCUUCCGUCGGCAGCACUGUGUUUGUGUUUCCACGUGGAAACAGCAGCGCACGUGUACAACUGUGCAUACCAAGGCGUGCGUGCCAGUGCGCGGGUCUCGGGAUCACUUCCCAGUGCGGUGCACGACCCCGCCUGCAGCAGUGGGUGUGGGGGCGCUGCUGGGCUCAUCCCGAAGCUCAGAGAGCGUGGGGCUGCCCCUAGGCUCGGAAUGAGUCUCCCACUGAGUCCGCAGCUCCCCUCCUGCCCUGGGGCGGGGCUUCCCUGACCUGAAGGCGUCGGGGGUGUCCUGGCUCCCAGCUCCCAGGCACUCGUGGGGCCACCGCCCAGGCCAGCUGGUGCUAAGUCCGCAGCCUGUGCAGCAGCGCCCGGCUUAGGACUGGGAGUGUGACUUGAAGGGCCGUCCCGCUCAUCCAAGGGACAAGGAGGAGCUCAUGGCCACAGGGCCUCGGAGGGCAUGACCCCAGCCCAGGGAGGAGCAACCUUCAGGUGGCCUCCAGGAGGCAGCUGGGAAAAGGGCAAAGCUCACCAGCUCUCAACUUUUUUUUUAAAUAAACUGAAAUUUUAGAAUAGUUUUUCAGAUUUACAGAAAAGAUGAUAAACCUUAGAAACAUUAUAUGCUAAGUGAAAGUGAGAAGUGACAGCCUGCUGGCAGUCCUCACAGCCCUCGCUCGCUCUUGGCGCCUCCUCUGCCUGGGCUCCCACUUUGGCAGCACUUGAGGAGCCCUUCAGCCCGCCACUGCACUGUGGGAGCCCCUUUCAGGGCUGGCCAAGGCCGGAGCCGGCUCCCUCAGCUUGCGGGGAGGUGUGGAGGGAGAGGCGCGGUGGGAACCAGGGCUGCACGCGGUGCUUGCGGGCCAGCGCGAGUUCCGGGUGGGCGUGGGCUCUGUGGGCCCCGCACUCGGAGCCGCCGGCUAGCCCCGCCAGCCUGGGCAGUGAGGGGCUUAGCACCUGGACCAGCAGCUGCUGUGCUCGAUUUCUCACUGGGCCUUAGCUGCCUUCCUGCGGGGCAGGGCUGGGGACCUGCAGCCCGCCAUGCCUGAGCCUCCCCCCUCCCCUCCGUGGGUUCCUGCGCAGUCCGAGCCUCCCCAACGAGUGUUGCCACCUGCUCAGGGCACCCAGUCCCAUCGACCACCCAAGGGCUGAGGAGUGCCUUUGGAGCAGGGCACGGGACUGGCAGGCAGCUCUACCUGCAGCCCCUGUGCAGGAUCCACUGGGUGAAAGCCAGCUGGGCUCCUGAGUCUGGUGGGGACUUGGAGAACCUUUAUGUCUAGCUAAGGGAUUGUAAAUAAACCAAUUGGCACUCUGUAUCUAGCUCAAGGUUUGUAAACACACCAAUCAGCACCUUGUGUCUAGCUCAGGGUUUGUGAAUGCACCAAUAGACACUCUGUAUCUAGCUACUCUGGUGGGGACUUGGAAAACCUUUUUGUCAACACUCUGUAUCUAGUUAAUCUGGUGGGGACAUGGAGAACCUUUGUGUCUAGCUCAGGGAUUGUAAACGCACCAAUCAGCACCCUGUCAAAACAGACCACUCGGCUCUACCAGUCAGCAGGAUGUGGGUGGGGCCAGAUGAGAAUAAAAGCAGGCUGCCCGAGCCAGCAGUGACAACCCACUCGGGUCCCCUUCCACACCGGGAUGCUUUGUUUGUUCGCUCUUUGCAAUAAAUCUUGCUGCUGCUCAC